UUUAUCGAUUACAAUUUUUAGACAAUUAAAGGCAGCUGGUUAAAGGAACUUUUAUUUUGGAAAAAGAACUGCUGCUGUUUCAAGACAUGCGCACUAGCUGCGACAUCUAGUGACGACAUUUACCGGGCUUUAACGGUUGUUGCUGCAUGAAGUCUGCUGCAAUUUCUCUGAGAUUUCUCAAGAUCAUCAGUUUGGACAGAAUUCAUUUGAAGAAUUAAUAGCACUAGCAGGUUCCAAUAAAGGCUGGAACAGAACAGACAGAAAAGAAUCUGUUCAGAAAAAGUCUUGUUCGUGCACCAGAUGGUGAAGUAGAAAAGUUCAUAAAAACUUCUGCAGCUUGCAUCUGACAGAGAUGCAAAAAGAAGAAGAGAGCGGGCCUGAAAACAAGCAAAUUCAAGGUUGUCAAUUCAGCAGAAAAGUUUGCUGUUUUCGCUGUUUACAGACAGGAGGUAAGCGCAUGUGAACACGCAGAUGACCUAUGGUGUCUGCGUAAGGGCUGGGCAAAAAAAUCGAUUUUCCGAUUAAUCGUUUUUUAAAACGUGGUCUAAUAAAAAUCGAUUCUCAAAGAGCAGAAUAGAUUUUUUUCUUUCAUAUUUAUUU